AGAGUUGAUUCUGGCUCAGGAUGAACGCUAGCGACAGGCUAACACAUGCAAGUCGAGGGGCAGCACGGAGUAGCAAUACUUGGUGGCGACCGGCGCACGGGUGAGUAACGCGUAUGCAACCUACCUAUCAGAGGGGAAUAACCCGGCGAAAGUCGGACUAAUACCGCAUAAAACAGGGGCACCGCAUGGUGAUAUUUGUUAAAGAAAUUCGCUGAUAGAUGGGCAUGCGUUCCAUUAGGUAGUUGGUGAGGUAACGGCUCACCAAGCCGACGAUGGAUAGGGGAACUGAGAGGUUGGUCCCCCACACUGGUACUGAGACACGGACCAGACUCCUACGGGAGGCAGCAGUGAGGAAUAUUGGUCAAUGGGCGGGAGCCUGAACCAGCCAAGUCGCGUGAAGGAAGAAGGAUCUAUGGUUACGUAAACUUCUUUUGCGAGGGGAAUAAAGUGCAGGACGUGUCCUGUUUUGUAUGUACCCUGAGAAUAAGGAUCGGCUAACUCCGUGCCAGCCGCCGC
rnacentral:rRNA from 1 species